GAUGAGUGCUCGACGGCAUACAGCCCCUGUGGCCAGCUAUGUCACAACACACGCGGCUCUUACUCCUGUGGUUGUAUUCGAGGUUACCGGCUCCACAAUGGCACUGACUGUCGAGUUACAGAUGAUGCUGUUAAAAUUCUUAUUGCAGCAGAUAGAGAACUUGGUAUCCUGGAUCGAGGAACAGGCAUCUAUGAGACACUGGUACCUGUAAAAUCACGGCCUACUUCUGUUGCAUAUGAUCUAGAGAGAAGCAUGUACUUCUGGGUGGAUGAAGUCUUAAAUGUGUUUGUUCUUGGGAAUCCAAACCCUGCUUCUCUCUAUCCAGGUAUAUUUCUUGAUAUUAAGAGUUCUAGCUUCUUUAAGCUACUUAAACAUGGUGUGAGAAACGUAUGUUCAUCAGGACAUCUUCUGUGACUCACUUGUCAUGAAUCAUGAGAGUAAGAUUUAAGUCUAUGUAACUUAGUUCUAUAGGAGCUUGGUAGAGUAUAACCUGAGAUGAGAUUGUUAAGCAGUAUGGAAAGUAUAGAGAUGUGGGCUCAGGCCAAGGUUAGUCUCAGCUCCAUCACUUGGUAUAUGACCCUGAGCAAGUUGUUAAUUCCUUUGAAUCACCAUGUAAAAGAUGAAGAUAACAGCACUUGUCUCAUUGGGUAAGUGUGGGGAUUAAGGGGAAGAAGAGCUUAGCAUAGUCCUGGAUGUGCAAAAAUCCUCUGCUGGCAGUUAAGAGGUAGCAUUCAUCACAGCCUUCCCAGAAAAAAUAUCAAAAGCUUUGAUAAUGAAUAUUGUCCCAAACUGAGGUCACAUUCUCCUGGAUGUCUUGGUUACACUUCUCCUAAGGCCUUUGUCUUUCCUUACUGUAAAUUGGGAAUAACACCUCACACAGCAGUAGCUCUCAUUCAUCCCCUGUAUCCUGUUGGACUCAUUACGUGACUUGAGAUCAGAAGGUGUAGAAAAAUUUUGUCUGAGUCUCUUUUUUCAAGGUGAGACGGGCAUAGGAGAGCACAGAAACAAGAAGCUGUCUCUUGUAAUCCCCAGAACUUAAAACCAUCAACAGUAUCUCUUUGGACUGGUUCACGGGGCAGUUGUAUUGGGCUAGCAGCUUUGCCAGGGUCAUCUGUGCUGGUUUAAGUGAUGGCAGAGGCUACAUCAGAAUCUUGGAAAAGGAUCUUGUGCCAGAGCAACUCAUAGUGUUUCCUGCAAAGAAGUACCUGUAUUGGGUAAAUCGAGGUGGGAAAAGCCUGAGGACUAUCGAAACGGCAGGGAUGGAUGGCUCUGAUAGGAAGGUGCUGGUGGUGGUCAACAUGGAGGAACCCACAGGGCUGACGCUGGACCAUGUGGCCAGCAGACUCUACUGGAUCAGUGAAUACAAAGAGGUACCAUGGAUGGGUCAGGAGGAAAAGG